UACGUAGGGUGCAAGCGUUAAUCGGAAUUACUGGGCGUAAAGCGUGCGCAGGCGGUGAUGUAAGACAGUUGUGAAAUCCCCGGGCUCAACCUGGGAACUGCAUUUGUGACUGCAUAGCUAGAGUACGGUAGAGGGGGAUGGAAUUCCGCGUGUAGCAGUGAAAUGCGUAGAUAUGCGGAGGAACACCGAUGGCGAAGGCAAUCCCCUGGACCUGUACCGACGCUCAUGCACGAAAGCGUGGGGAGCAAACAGG
rnacentral:rRNA from 1 species